UGGGGAAUUUUGGACAAUGGGGGCAACCCUGAUCCAGCAAUGCCGCGUGUGUGAAGAGGGCCUUCGGGGUGUAAAACACUUUUGUCCGGGAAGAAAUCGCACCUGAUUAUACCGGGUGUGGAUGGCGGUACCGGAAGAAUAAGGACCGGCUAACUACGUGCCAGCAGCCGCGGUAAUACGUAGGGUCCAAGCGUUAAUCGGAAUUACUGGGCGUAAAGCGUGCGCAGGCGGUUGUGCAAGACCGAUGUGAAAUCCCCGGGCUUAACCUGGGAAUUGCAUUGGUGACUGCACGGCUAGAGUGUGUCAGAGGGGGGUAGAAUUCCACGUGUAGCAGUGAAAUGCGUAGAGAUGUGGAGGAAUACCGAUGGCGAAGGCAGCCCCCUGGGAUAACACUGACGCUCAUGCACGAAAGCGUGGGGAGCAAACAGG
rnacentral:rRNA from 1 species